rnacentral:tRNA from 1 species
AGGGUAUAGCUCAGUGGUAGAGUGCAUGCCUAGCAUGCAUGAGGUCCUGGGUUCAAUUCCCAGUACCUCUA